GGCAAGAUGACCGAGUGGUUAAGGUGUAUGACUCAAGUUACAGCUUGUCCUAGAACAACUAGGGUUUCUUCAUAUGUCGCAAGACGCGUGGGUUCGAAUCCCACUCUUGUCA
rfam:Aspergillus parasiticus ST-1 638, whole genome shotgun sequence.